AGAGUUUGAUCAUGGCUCAGGAUGAACGCUAGCGGGAGGCUUAACACAUGCAAGUCGAGGGGUAACAGGUUGGAAUUUCGGUUUCGAUGCUGACGACCGGCGAACGGGUGAGUAACGCGUAUGCAACCUACCUUUUACAGAGGGAUAGCUUUCGGAAACGGAAAUUAAUACCUCAUAACACUGCGAUCUGGCAUCUUAUUGCAGUUAAAACUUCGGUGGUAAAAGAUGGGCAUGCGUAACAUUAGCUAGUUGGUAAGGUAACGGCUUACCAAGGCAACGAUGUUUAGGGGACCUGAGAGGGUGAUCCCCCACACUGGUACUGAGACACGGACCAGACUCCUACGGGAGGCAGCAGUGAGGAAUAUUGGUCAAUGGACGGAAGUCUGAACCAGCCAUCCCGCGUGCAGGACGACGGCCCUAUGGGUUGUAAACUGCUUUUCUGAAGGAAGAAUAGUCCCGACGUGUCGGGAGACGACGGUACUUCAGGAAUAAGCAUCGGCUAACUCCGUGCCAGCAGCCGCGGUAAUACGGAGGAUGCAAGCGUUAUCCGGAUUUAUUGGGUUUAAAGGGUGCGUAGGCGGAUUAAUAAGUCAGUGGUGAAAUCUUUCGGCUCAACCGAGAAACUGCCAUUGAUACUGUUAAUCUUGAGUUCGGUUGAGGUAGGCGGAAUGUGUAAUGUAGCGGUGAAAUGCUUAGAUAUUACACAGAACACCAAUUGCGUAGGCAGCUUACUAGACCGAUACUGACGCUGAGGCACGAAAGCGUGGGUAGCGAACAGGAUUAGAUACCCUGGUAGUCCACGCCGUAAACGAUGAUUACUCGUUGUUGGCGAUACACAGUCAGCGACCAAGCGAAAGCGAUAAGUAAUCCACCUGGGGAGUACGCUCGCAAGAGUGAAACUCAAAGGAAUUGACGGGGGCCCGCACAAGCGGUGGAACAUGUGGUUUAAUUCGAUGAUACGCGAGGAACCUUACCUGGGCUUAAAUGUAGAGUGCAUGAUCGGGAAACUGAUCUUUCCUUCGGGACUCUUUACAAGGUGCUGCAUGGUUGUCGUCAGCUCGUGCCGUGAGGUGUCGGGUUAAGUCCCAUAACGAGCGCAACCCCUAUCAUUAGUUGCCAUCGGGUCAAGCCGGGGACUCUAGUGAAACUGCCACCGUAAGGUGAGAGGAAGGUGGGGAUGACGUCAAAUCAGCACGGCCCUUAUGUCCAGGGCUACACACGUGUUACAAUGGCCGAUACAGAGGGCAGCUACCUGGUGACAGGAUGCGAAUCUCUAAAGUCGGUCCAAGUUCGGAUCGAAGUCUGCGACUCGACUUCGUGAAGCUGGAAUCGCUAGUAAUCGUAUAUCAGCAAUGAUACGGUGAAUACGUUCCCGGGCCUUGUACACACCGCCCGUCAAGCCAUGGAAGCUGGGGGUGCCUGAAGUUCGUAACCGCAAGGAGCGACCUAGGGUAAAACUAGUGACUGGGGCUAAGUCGUAACAAGGUA
rnacentral:rRNA from 1 species